CAAUAUUCAAUUAUAUUGCACUUGUGCAAAUAUAGAUCCUAAUUAUACAUGUAAUAAAUGACAAAUUAUAUUCUUCACACUGUAUAAAGCCUUGUUUGAUUUUCAACUUUUUUUUUAUCUAUAAGGUUUUUGCAGAAUGUUGUUAUCUUCUUUUAAACAAACAGUUUUUAGUUGCAGUAUAACGAAAAAGACAGAUAUUGUCUAAAACAGAAAUUAUGUAUUUACUUUUUAUGAUGUUACUUCUAGUUAACUGCUAUUAUUUCUAGACCCAAGGAAACACUCAGAUUUAUUCUACCCAAUCUAGUUAGGGUCAGACGUAACACAAUCUGUGUGACCAACUAUCUGUGCUGAACAGGACUGAAUUACUGUGCAUGUGCAUGUUCUAUGAACAACAAAAAUAUGAUCACAUUGUUAAUAAAAUGGUGAUUCACGAUUUUAAUCAA
rnacentral:lncRNA from 1 species